CUAAAUGUAUGUAUUCUAUUUGUAAAUUUAUAUAAAUAUAAUAAUGUUGGGUUUAUCCAUUGUUAAAUAGCCAAAUUAACGAGAUUUCUAUUCUAUCUUUCUACUAUUUAGCAAAACCACAGCCAAGGGACCGAACUUGGAAUUAUUUGCGGGGAAAGCAGACCCUGUUGACUCUAAUCUGGCAGUUUAAGAAGCUAUAAGAGGCCUUCUAUCGACAAGGAAUACUACUCUUAUUGUCUCCUUAUAUUAUAAUAAAAUAUCCAUUAUAUUUAUAUUGCAUUAUAUUAUAUUGUAUUUUGUUUUAAUACAAACAAAUACCCCAAACAAAUAUUUUGAAUUACUAUGCAAGUUACCCUAAAUACUCUGGUAUGAUCCAAUUCAAGGACAUAGUCAAGUGGCAGUUUGACUGAGGUGGUACAUCUUUCAAAUAAUAGCGAAUAUGUUCCAAGGCCACAUAUAGAGUAAAAGAGCAAAUGCUUGUUCUCGAUGUUCAGUACGAUCCUUUUGUUGGUGAAAGGAUUUAAAAAAAAAGAGAUGUAAGAAAAGUUACCACAGGUAUAAUAGGCUUGUGGCGACUAAGCGUUCAUAGCGACGUCGCUUUUUGAUCACUUGAUGUCGGCUCUUUAUAUCAUUCUGAAGCAAAAUUCAACAAAAGCUGCAUUGUUCAUCCAUACAAGUGAACGUAAACUGAACUUAGAUUGUCGUGACAUUUUUCCUGCGUAUUGGCGAACAGUGGUGCAGU
rnacentral:ncRNA from 1 species